rnacentral:lncRNA from 1 species
UGGACCAGGCUGGUCGGGCUCGGAUGUGGCCUGAUGGGCAAGUGAAAACAGGGCCAGAUUUGUUGGGCCCAACUGUAUCUCGGGUGAAUUUGGUGGGUGUAAGGUGGGUCUAAUGAAGCCCACGAUGAUGACCCGGCUGAGUGCAAGAAGGGGGAAGGGAAGUCGAUGGUACUCAGCGAGGGAAGGAAGCGGCCGACGGGAGAAGAGCUUGGCUGAUGGGCGCCCGGACACGGAACCGGCGGCGGUCUUCCAGCGGCGGGUGCGGUGGUGGAUGGUGGAGGGAGGUGGUACGCGGCCUGUGGAGCCGGCCGAUGGUGAGGAAAAUGGCAAGG